GCCAGCAUGACCUAGUGGUUCGCGUGUUAGACUAUGACUCUGGAGACCAGGGUUCAAAUCCUGGCUUAGCCA